UUCCUACGGGGCGCAGCAGUGGGGAAUAUUGCACAAUGGGGGAAACCCUGAUGCAGCAACGCCGCGUGAAGGAAGACGGUUUUCGGAUCGUAAACUUCUGUUCUUAGUGAAGAAGAAUGACGGUAGCUAAGGAGCAAGCCACGGCUAACUACGUGCCAGCAGCCGCGGUAAUACGUAGGGGGCAAGCGUUAUCCGGAUUUACUGGGUGUAAAGGGGGCGCAGACGGCAAUGCAAGCCAGGAGUGAAAGCCCGGGGCCCAACCCCGGGACUGCUCUUGGAACUGCAUGGCUGGAGUACAGGAGGGG
rnacentral:rRNA from 1 species